GUUGAAAUGUGAUAGUAAAAGUAGUAGUUUGUGUGUUGGUGUGUCUGAUAGUGGUUCCAGAGGCCAUGUGGGUAUCCCGUCGUCAUUCUGGAUGCAGUGCAUCAUGGACCUGGUCAGCGCCGCCUACGUGCCACGCCCACCGCUGUGGCGCCCAGGCUUCGGCAAAUUUGCAUUAAACCCGCCAAGUGAGCUGAGUGGAUGAGUUGGACUGGCAUGUGGCUGUGGAGGCGGAUGAGGAUGGGGAUGGAGAUGGGGAUGGGGAUGAGGAUGCGGAUGCCAUCAGUUUUCCACAGAGCGGGAUGAAGAGCACGGGCAGGUGGGUGGAGAUGGGAAUAAAGCGAUGCCAGAGGCAAACAGCGCGGAACCGAGCGCCCAUAAAGGGAGCUGGAUCUGGAGAGGAUUCCGCACAUAUGCACAUAUAGGGGCUGGCCCUGGGCUGAUGCGAAGUGGCGUGGAGUGGAGUGGACCACGAGGAGCAGGAGGAGCAGGAGAGACCCGAUGACAAGGCGACAGUCCGAUCCCGAACGGUUCUUUAUUGUCCGCCUUAGUUGUUCUAGUCGCUGUUGCCAUGCCACCUCGAGCAACAAUUUAGUCCUCUGUUGCCAUUAAAUGCUUGAGCUGCUUAAUGAAGGAAAUUAGCAGCCCAGCAGGAAGAGGACGAUGCAGGGUGCAGGGUGCAUGGUGCAGGAAACGGAAGUCGCAACGAGCAACAUCUCUAAGCCGGGCACAUUGUGCUGCACUGUGCGGCAAAAAGUUGCAAGGCCUUUGCGCACUGCCACCACCCGCUACCCGCUACCUACCACCUAGCCCUCUGGCUCACUGGAACCGGCUGCAAUGUACCACCGCGCACCACCACACCACUGCACCACCGCACCACUGCACCACUGGAACUCCGCCGACCGAAGGCAACAUCCAACUGGCGAGCCAGUGGAGCGUGCAAGUUAUGUUUUCUUUGAAGUUCAUGAAGCAAAAUGUCUUAAUUACUGAAAUGAGAUGACGACGAGACAGAAGAAAAUAAAAAGGAGGCACUAACGGAGAGGUACACACAGAGAAAUUUGCCGUGACAGCAAUAGCAACUUUACUAUUUUAUUGGCUAAAAGUAUUGUGAAUA